rnacentral:lncRNA from 1 species
UGCACCUAUUUGAAUUCACGAGAAACAAGUUCUCAUGAAUUUUCUCCCAUGCAGAAGCCUUCCCAUGCCCCACCUGUGUGCACCAUCUGAGUGGAUAAAGAUGGUUGGUUGGUCAUUUAAAUUCAAAUGAAGUUUGAAUUUGAAUGGACAACUAAUCCCAUGCUCCACCUUAUCCACUUGUGCGCCACUUCCUCUGCACGAGAAAAGGUUUCUUGUAUAAACUCUCCAUGCAC